AUUCUCCUUUCCCUCCUCUCCAUCUCCCUAUUGCAUUGUGUCUGACUGAUUUUCAGAGCACCUUCGCUGUUUCCCCCUUCUCGUUCCCUUCUCAUAAAAUAUCUAGACAGGAAGGAGGUGGCUGCAGAGGCUGAACAAUCUCAUAUUCUGCCUGCAAUGUCAUCGUUUCUUUCCCCCAUUUUAGGGGGCUGAAGUUGCCCAGCAAGGGAUGCAGAGGAGCUGGAAAAGAAGGGGGGAGCUCUCCAGAGGCAGCUGCGGUCAGGGGCAGGGACUGCCGCCAGAUGUGCCUGCCUUUCUGGGCUUUGAUGAGAAAGGGGCAGCAGGAGGAAAUAUUGGGAGACAAAAGCCCCGGUUUAAAUGAUCAUUUUCUUUAUUUAACAUGGCAGCAGACACUCUCUGCGUAGGAUCAUCAUGCCGAGCAUAAACUGGACUUUCCCACUUGCCUGGCAGGAGUCACACAGAUCCCUGCGUGCUAAAUGAACAUCUGAGUAGGUUUGAGAUGGGGCCCAAGAUGCUUUUCUGACAAGUUUCCUGGUGAUGCAAUGUUGCUGUUGGGGAA
rnacentral:lncRNA from 1 species